GAUGAAGAACGCAGCGAAAUGCGAUAAGUAGUGUGAAUUGCAGAAUUCCGUGAAUCAUCGAAUCUUUGAACGCACAUUGCGCCCCCUGGUAUUCCGGGGGGCAUGCCUGUCCGAGCGUCAUUACAACCCUCAAGCUCAGCUUGGUGUUGGGCCCCGCCGCCCCGGCGGGCCCUAAAGUCAGUGGCGGUGCCGUCCGGCUCCGAGCGUAGUAAUUCUUCUCGCUCUGGAGGUCCGGUCGUGUGCUCGCCAGCAACCCCCAAUUUUUUUCAGGUUGACCUCGGAUCAGGUAGGGAUACCCGCUGAACUUAAGCAUAUCAAUAAGCGGAGGA
rnacentral:misc_RNA from 1 species